GCAUAUGUAAAUGUGAGACGGCAGGUCCGCUAUGAGUUGUUUUGUUAAAAAAUCUAUUUUGAUAAAAGGCCCAUCUAUCCUUCCAUUUGUAAGCUCUUUCAAACCAGUUAAAGUCACAGUGACGUAGAAUCUAUCCCAGCAGGAACCAGCUUCAAAUGGAAUAGUUGUCAAUUGCUGUUCAUACUCAAGCACAUAUACACUCAUUCCUACUGUAAGCUACUGAUUUAGAUUCAUUAAUUCAACUGACACACAUUUCUACUUAAUCUGUUUAGGAGCACUCACAUUUGAGACUCACAUGUAUGCACCUUCAAUUUCUUGAGCUCAGACUUCUUUUUACAGGGCGUGAAGAAAGGACUGGCAGUCACAGAUUUAUCUCCUUUUUUAAUGGUCCCCAGGCCACUAGAGGGUGCUGUGAAUUAGCCUCAAAUGACUACUGGAGAAGACAGGCAGUCUGGCAUGGCCCAGUCACACUCUACAAGGACCUGAAGUUGGGAGGUAGCCAACGCCAAGGGCUUGACAGACCAUUGGAAGGCAGCUGCCUAUUUGCUUUCCACUCCUUUCUUUGAUGGGCAGGACUGAACAUAAGGUCAGAAGUCACUAUGCACAGUAGUGGGUCUCCCCUGCUACCUGAUGCUUUGCUUGACAUGUAAGAUUAUUGUGUUUGGAAAGAUACAGCAAGACUAACAAGCAUAUCUCCUCCAAAUCUGGCCCAAGCCUGCCCACUUGUUCUUCAAAAUUUGUUUCAUUUAACAGUUUUACAGCAUUUCACUGUUGUCUCCCUGCAUAGUACACCCCCAUAACUUCAAAAUGACCAUUUAAGACAGAUUACCUCAAAAACAUACUCAAGAGUCUGAAUGUAGAAUCAAACCAGAAGGAUAAAGUGGUGAAAUCAUCUACUGGAGCCUUUGGUAUGUCAGAAGGAGACACUGCAAUUAGGACAAGAUUCCUGCUGGGAAUAAAGUGUGGAACUGACCUCCAUGGUCAAAUGCCAGUCAACACCAUGCAUUCUGAUGCCUUCCAGAGUGUUGAGUCUCCGCUGAAUAACAAGGGCUGAUGAAAGUGUUCAAAAAUUAACACUCAGCACCUGUGGAUUUUAGUGCAGUGGUG